GUGGAUUAGAUACCCUGGUGGUCCACGCCCUAAACGAUGCGAACUAGGUGUUGGAGAAGGAGACUUCUUUAGUACCGUAGCUAACGCGUGAAGUUCGCCGCCUGGGGAGUACGGUCGCAAGAUUAAAACUCAAAGGAAUUGACGGGGACCCGCACAAGCGGUGGAUGAUGUGGAUUAAUUCGAUGCAACGCGAAAAACCUUACCUACCCUUGACAUGCCUCGAAUCCUGCAGAGAUGUGGGAGUGCCCGAAAGGGAGCGGGGACACAGGUGCUGCAUGGCUGUCGCCAGCU
rnacentral:rRNA from 1 species